CGUUUACGCAGCCCUGCUCAACGUACUGUGUGGCUUAGCUCCAGACUCCGGCCGGAGAUGUCGCUAUUCCCAUCGUAGGAGUUGAUCCGACUCUCAAAUAUUACAACGAGACUAGGCUUGGUCUGUAAUACGGGGCGCACGUUCGGGACGAGAGCCAAAAGACGAGCUGGUGGCUCUCUCCCACGCACUUGGCCUCGAGACGUCGCUGCCUCCAUGCAGUACGACGCUCUUAUCCGAACAGAUCUUUCUAUAGUCCGCGCAUACAAGCGUGACUCCAAAUCAUGCAGAACGUAAAUCUUAUUGUCUUGUCUGCACACUAAUGAAAAGAGGGAAAUGCAAAGACCGGACCCAAUGGUCGGUGUGACAUGGCACGCACGCUCACACGCCAGGACACGACAGCUGUCGCGCCCGUACGUGUGUAAACGGACAUUCUACGUGCCUACGCGGGACUCCCCCCCCAGUCAACAGCGUAUUGGAAAGACGCCGAGACUGCUACAAGUAGGCGCUAAGUUGAAAAACACGCAUAAAAAUCACACUUAAAAGAUGGAAACACUCACAACCGGACCGCCAGUGGUGCGCACAAAGGCACUCCGCGCCAUCACAGAUGCAAAGAUCACAAUCCACACACAAGUGCCACACGGAAUCACCACCAACUUCUGCUCCCGCUGCAUCGAACGCAACCACUUCAGGCGCGCCGAAUCAGCUUGCGUGACAUACUCCCAAGGCAACUUGGCAGCUACACACACCCUCGAAUGCUUGCUAGCCGCCGGCAGGGCAAUAUCUGCCAUCUCCGGGGAUACAUCUAGUAAAGCCACACCAUU
rnacentral:lncRNA from 1 species